CCUCAGUUUUUUCCAUUCGUGCUUCACUGAACAUGGUUUCCAAAUCCUUCCUCCUCGGAGUGUCCCUCCCCUGGAUCCGAUCCAGCUGCCCGGGGGCCCAUUUAAAUGAUUCUCUGAACGCUUGGGCUGACAACUCGACUUCUACUUCCCAAGUGAUUGCAGCAGGAGGAGACAGGCUACGAGCCUUUGUCUGCACAACCCAACAGGUGCCCAAGACACCUGAGAAUCCGGCCGAAGAGAAGCAUUUUAAGAUCGGCUGGUGGCUUCGGGCAGACGGGCACUGGCCAGGAGCUGAGCUGGCAGCAACCGGAGAAAGAGGGGGGAGGGAAGAGGAAAGGAGAAGCAGAAACUGGUGAAUGAACGAAUACAAGAGUGUCAUUGUGAUGAUCACAGCCCUGGUUAGGACACUGGAGUGAAGGUCUGGGAUGGUGUGUUGCACAAUUUGAACCUUUGAAGCAAUGGGCUCUGCCAGGGAACUUCCUCCCGACUCAUUCCAUUUGAUGUGGGAAGCAAAGUAAAGGUUACAGUUCAUUUUGAGAAGAGAGUGAAUUUGAUGGUCUCCAUGCUGAAUCGAAACUCUCUUCUCUCUCUUCCACCACACAGUCUCAGAGAUGGCUUUUUCUUCCUACACUGGAUGGAACUCAGCUGCAGCUUGAGGGGUCUGAACAUACCAGUAACAGCCAAAAUGACACCCACUAACUUCUACUCCAAACCAAUUUCUUCUCCACUAACUUUUUUUUUUU